rnacentral:tRNA from 1 species
GCCACCUUAGCUCAGUCGGUAGAGCAAUGCUUUCGUAAAGCAGAGGUCCGGGGUUCGAAUCCCCGAGGUGGCUCCA